UCGAGAAUUUUUCACAAUGGGCGCAAGCCUGAUGGAGCGACGCCGCGUGGGGGAUGAAUGGCUUCGGCCCGUAAACCCCUGUCAUUUGCGAUCAAACCUUAUUAUUUAAAAGAUGAUGAGCUGAUAGUAGCGAAAGAGGAAGGGACGGCUAACUCUGUGCCAGCAGCCGCGGUAAUACAGAGGUCCCAAGCGUUGUUCGGAUUCACUGGGCGUAAAGGGUGCGUAGGUGGUGAGGUAAGUCGGAUGUGAAAGCUCGGAGCUCAACUCCGAAAUGGCAUCGGAAACUACCUUGCUAGAGGGUUGGAGGGGGGACUGGAAUACUUGGUGUAGCAGUGAAAUGCGUAGAUAUCAAGUGGAACACCAGUGGCGAAGGCGAGUCCCUGGACAACUCCUGACACUGAGGCACGAAAGCUAGGGGAGCAAAC
rnacentral:rRNA from 1 species